UACGGGGGGAGCAAGCGUUGUUCGGAUUUACUGGGCGUAAAGGGCGCGUAGGCGGUCAGCACAAGUCAGUUGUGAAAUCUCCGGGCUUAACUCGGAAAGGUCAACUGAUACUGUGCGACUAGAGUGCAGAAGGGGCAACUGGAAUUCUCGGUGUAGCGGUGAAAUGCGUAGAUAUCUGGAGGAACACCGGUGGCGAAGGCGGCGUCCUGGACCAACACUGACACUGAUGAGCGAAAGCCAGGGGAGCAAACGGG
rnacentral:rRNA from 1 species